AAUAGAGUCUUAAGAUAAAAUUUUCACAAAAAAAUGGCAAAACACAUUUCCCAGUACUUUCUCUUGGGAAUUUUAUUCAUUGCAUUGGUUCUAACUUCAGGAUCAACACCAGGUUUGUUUUUCUGCAGUUCUCCUUCGUUUUGUGAUAGCCCUCCUAAUUGCGACGCAAGGUGUCGCACAGCGGGGUAUCAAAGUGGAGUAUGUACUGACAUUCCGGGAAAUUCUUGUUGCUGUGUGUAAUGAAAUAAAUUACAUUAUUAUAAAUAUUUAUAUCUAUAUAUGUUUAACUAUAGAUGGCAUGAACUAAAUAAGAAACAUUUUCCUCCAAAGCUUUUAUUUAUAUAUGUUUGAAGUAUAUAUAUCAAGUAUGUAUACAUUGUGAUUCUUGGCAGAAGAAUAAAUGGAGAACUUGAAAGUAUGUGGCCAAGCUCAAUAUGAAAUAAAGAAAGAGGAUAGACUCGUGCAACUUAAACACAGAAUAAUGUGUUGGACCAAUAAUGUGUUUUCGUCUUGUAUCAAUGAGCAUUUUCCUUUUAAUAAUAUAUCAUGAAAUAAUAUAUCUGUAUGUGUAUGUGUAAAUCAGUUGAUAACCAAUGAAGAGUUAUUAUUUUGCAACAUCA